rnacentral:rRNA from 1 species
UACGGGGGGGGUAAGCGUUGUUCGGAAUUACUGGGCGUAAAGGGCUCGUAGGCGGCCAACUAAGUCAGACGUGAAAUCCCUCAGCUUAACUGGGGAACUGCGUCUGAUACUGGAUGGCUUGGAUUCGGGAGAGGAAUGCGGAAUUCCAGGUGUAGCGGUGAAAUGCGUAGAUAUCUGGAGGAACACCGGUGGCGAAGGCGGCAUUCUGGACCGACAUUGACGCUGAGGAGCGAAAGCCAGGGGAGCGAACGGG